AGAGAAGUCAUGGAAGAAGACCCUGAAGCAUAUUCAUACACCACACAAACUGCUUGAUACAAGUCAAAAGAAACAGGUUGCUUACAAUAGUGAGAAGCCAUACAAGUGUUCGCAGCGCUCCUGCUUCUGUUGACAGAAGCUCUCUGUGCUGACACUAAAGGACACAUACACACAAGAAAAGACUUACAGUACUGUCCUUACAGCAGCACCCAGAAGAAGAGCUUAGACCUCCAUUCACGGCGUCAUCACACUGGAGAGUCGUUCCCUUGUCACCUGUGCCAGUAUUCCACACCAGACCGCCAGCUGCUGGUGCGACACAAGAGGAAACAUCACAGUGAUGAACAAACUGCAGCACUGGGGUAGAAGAACAGCUCUGGUUCUGGCUUCCAAGCAGCACCUUCUCAAAGAGCACGGACAUCCGAAUGAUAUUUAUGAUUUCUAAUAAAAUUUUUAGUUAAUUAUCACACUUCUUGUAAUAAUUCAGUAAAUUCAAAGUAAUUCAGUAAAUUCAAUGUGCCAUUGCUUUUGAAAUAUUAUGUCAUGGUUUUAAAUAAGAUUAGAUCACCCCAGCAUUGACACAAUAACUCAAAUCACGGUUUAAUAAGUUCGGUGGAAUGUAGGUGAAUGUUAUUUGCUCCAUUUUAGUGGGUGGUUAAUUAUAGCUUUAAAAUAGUAAGCGAUUAAAGGAUUUACCCAUGAUGCAGCAAGCGUAAUACUGACUUUAAAACUACAAGCAAAUCCCUCUUCCAAUCCGGAUUAUUUUACCUGUUGCUCAGCGCACGAGCAGCCAAAUUCAUAUUAACAGGUGACUAGAAGCUUUAUUUAGUAAUUUUGGUUUCGUUACUUAUAUUAAGGAAAUCGCUGAUUUAUAACAACAUCUUUUGA